CCCUUAGUAACGGCGAGUGAACAGGGAUGAGCCCAGCACCGAAGCCUGUGGUCGUUUGGCCAUUAGGCAAUGUGGUGUUUAGGUCGUUUCGCAGAGGCACUGCUCCACCCUAAGUCCAGCAAUGAGUACGGUAGUACGGACAUGGCCCAUAGAGGGUGAAAGGCCCGUGGGGGUGGAGACCAGACAGGCCAGUGUUUCUCUGGAUAGACCUUGGAGUCGGGUUGUUUGUGAAUGCAGCCCAAAGCAGGUGGUAAACUCCAUCUAAGGCUAAAUACUUGCACGAGUCCGAUAGCGAACAAGUACCGUGAGGGAAAGUUGAAAAGUACUUUGAAGAGAGAGUAAACAGUGCGUGAAACCGCUCAGAGGUAAACGGGUGGAGUUGAACUGCAAGCUCCGGGGAUUCAGCUGGUGAGUGUGAUUGAGCUUGGUCAAAUUGGUUGGACUCUGGGGUCUGAUUAGCAUCAGGUUCCUUCCUUCGGGUUGGAAUGCGCGAUACACUUGUCAAGUGUUGCGCGCCCUUGUUGUUCCUCGGGCCUACUCGCCAGUGCACUUCCUCGGAGUGGUCACCACGACCGGCGCUGCUGUCUGACUGUUGUGGUUAAACCGGUCUUGUAUUGUCCUUGUGGCUUUGCUUGAUCGGGAUGGCAGGUAGCUCGUUGACUUGCUCGCAAGUUUUCGGGUGUAAUCAGCUGACUGCAAUGGUUCUGUGCGGUGCGUCGGAGACGGCGGCUUGUGGUGUGAGCGUGCGUACCUAAUCGACCGGCGGGUUCGGGUUUGGUUGCUAUGUUGCCUGUUCUGCAGGCCUAGUGAUGACUCGGGUUCGUUAUGGUGGGUGGUUGCGUGCGUGACACUCUUCAGGGCCAAUAGUCUGUGGUGUAGUGGUAGACUAUCCACCCGACCCGUCUUGAAACACGGACCAAGGAGAGUAACAUGUGCGCGAGUCAUUGGGUCUUACGAAACCUAAAGGCGCAGUGAAAGUGAAUGUUUGGCUUGUCCAAACUGAGGUGAGAUCCUGUCGUUUCUCAUGCAUGGUACCACCAAGCACCGAGCGGCAGGCGCAUCACCGGCCCGUCCCAUGACGUAGUCAUUUGUCUUCGGACUUGUGCAUCGUCGGGGCGGAGCAUGAGCGCACAUGUUGAGACCCGAAAGAUGGUGAACUAUGCUUGCGCAGGUUGAAGCCAGAGGAAACUCUGGUGGAGGACCGCAGCGAUUCUGACGUGCAAAUCGAUCGUCAAACGUGAGUAUAGGGGCGAAAGACUAAUCGAACC
rnacentral:rRNA from 1 species